UUUGUCCAAUUCUUCGUUCAAAAAGCCAAGAACCUGGACAGCUUGCCGUCACGACCCUCUAGUGGUAACACUGGGGGUUAGAAUCUCAACAAAGCUUUCGGAGGGGGCACGAUUCAACCCAUGACGCUUCAACCUGGAAUUUCCCACAGAAGUCAUUUUUUUCCUCAGAACUCUUUCUGAAAAUGCCCCCUCCCCACCCGCCCCACCCACCAUCCCUCAGACCUGGUGGCUGGAGCAGCUCCCUUUGGGAAAUGCUUCCUGUGGUGAACAGGAUGGAGCUCCCCAUGGGGACAGGGCCGUAGAGGAGGCCUCUAGGGCAGGAAGGGGAGUCCGGCGCCACCUGGGGCCCUGGCAAAGGAGGCGGCCGCAGAACGGGGACACAGGAGGGAGGAGGGUGGGGACCUGUUCAUCAAGCCCUCCCUUCCCAGGCCGUCCUGGGCCCAGGGGCUGCCUGGUGGCUUCAAAAUGCAGCCAGUGUGGGUUGGGCCGGGUUGGGUCCAGGAUGUCAAACUCCCAGGAACUCUGUCUGCCUCAUGACCUGGUGUGGAGGCCACCGCUGAGCAACGUCCAGUGUGUCCUGGUCACAUCUGGGCCCGCACCACCUCACAGGCUCCCGGUGCGAAGGAGUGGGCGGCCUUUUCAGAUUCGCCAGAGCUGGUUUGCGGAAGCUCCCAGAACAGACCACGGUCUGUAACAAGCUUACUUCCUGCCCAUGAAUUUUUCCCUCGACAGGGCUUACAAUUAAGUCCAUACCCCCGCCUCCCGCCUGGCUUUCACUUCCUUGCUUUUGGAGAGAAGAUGAAUGGAAAUGUAUGACUUUGUCUGUGGUAUAAAGACAUGGAUUCAAGUUCAGGGUUUGCCAUGGACCUGCCGUGUGACCUUUG
rnacentral:lncRNA from 10 species